rnacentral:rRNA from 1 species
UUCGCAAUGCCCGAAAGGGUGACGAAGCGACGCCGCGUGGGUGAGGAAGGCCCUCGGGUUGUAAAGCCCUGUCAGGAGUUAAGAAAUGUAAGUGCGCUAAUAUCGCAUUUAUUUGACGAAGGCUCCAAAGGAAGUCACGGCUAACUCUGUGCCAGCAGCCGCGGUAAUACAGAGGUGGCAAGCGUUGUUCGGAAUUAUUGGGCGUAAAGAGCACGUAGGUGGGUUUGUAAGUCAGAUGUGAAAGCCUUCUGUUCAACGGAAGAAUUGCAUCUGAAACUGCGAGUCUUGAGUGUAGGAGGGGAGGAUGGAACUUCUGGUGGAGCGGUGAAAUGCGUAGAUAUCAGAAGGAACGCCGGCGGCGAAAGCGAUUCUCUGGCCUAUUACUGACACUGAGUGUGCGAAAGCUAGGGGAGCAAACGGGAUUAGAUACCCCGGUAGUCCUAGCCGUAAACGAUGGGCACUAAGUAGAGGGGUUUU